rnacentral:rRNA from 1 species
CCUACGGGUGGCAGCAGUGGGGAAUAUUGCACAAUGGGGGAAACCCUGAUGCAGCGACGCCGCGUGAGUGAAGAAGUAUUUCGGUAUGUAAAGCUCUAUCAGCAGGGAAGAAAUAAAGUCCUUCGGACUUUGGACGGUACCUGACUAAGAAGCCCCGGCUAACUACGUGCCAGCAGCCGCGGUAAUACGUAGGGGGCACGCGUUAUCCGGAUUUACUGGGUGUAAAGGGAGCGUAGACGGCAGCGCAAGUCUGGAGUGAAAUCCCAUGGCUUAACCAUGGAACUGCUUUGGAAACUGGGCAGCUGGAGUGCAGGAGAGGUAAGCGGAAGUCGUGGUGUAGCGGUGAAAUGCAUAGAUAUCACGAGGAACCCCGAUUGCGAAGGCAGCCUGCCGGGGUGCGACUGACGCUGAGGCUCGAAGGUGCGGGUAUCAAACAGGAUUAGAUACCCUGGUAGUC